rnacentral:rRNA from 1 species
AUUGAACGCUGGCGGCAGGCCUAACACAUGCAAGUCGAGCGCGUCGCAGACGGGAGAGUAAUGUCUGUGACACUGCCUGAUGGAGGGGGAUACCUACUGGAAACGGUAGCAAAUCCCGCAUACCAUCCACUGUGCCCAGAUGGGAUGAGCUGGUUGGUGGGGUAACGGCUCACCAAGUCGACGAUCCCUAGCUGGUCGGAGAGGAUGACCAGCCAAACUGGAACUGAGACACGGUCCAGACUCCUACGGGAGGCAGCAGUGGGGGAUAUUGCACAAUGGGCGAAAGCCUGAUGCAGCCAUGCCGCGUGUAUGAAGAAGGCCUUCGGGUUGUAAAGCACUUUCAGCGGGGAGGCGUUACCCGCAGAAGAAGCACCGGCUAACUCCGUGCCAGCAGCCGCGGUAAUUC